ACGUAAACAACCUGCCUUCAGGAUGGGGACAACAGACGGAAACGACUGCUAAUACCGAAUAAGUUCCAAGAGCCGCAUGGCCCAUGGAAGAAAAGGUGGCCUCUACUUGUAAGCUAUCGCCUGAAGAGGGGUUUGCGUCUGAUUAGCUGAUUGGAGGGGUAACGGCCCACCAAGGCGACGAUCAGUAGCCGGUCUGAGAGGAUGAACGGCCACACUGGAACUGAGACACGGUCCAGACUCCUACGGGAGGCAGCAUG
rnacentral:rRNA from 1 species